rnacentral:rRNA from 1 species
AUUGAACGCUGGCGGCAGGCAUAACACAUGCAAGUCGAGCGAGCGGCGGACGGGUGAGUAAUGUCUGGGAAACUGCCUGCUGGAGGGGGGUAACUACUGGAAACGGUAGCUAAUACCGCAUACCAUCAGAUGUGCCCAGAUGGGAUUAGCUAGUAGGUGGGGUAAUGGCGCACCUAGGCGACGAUCCCUAGCUGGACUGAGAGCAUGACCAGCCACACCUGAACUGAGAAACGGUCCAGACUCCUACGGGCAGCAGCAGUGGGGAAUAUUGAACGAUGGGCGCAAGCCUGAUGCAGCCAUGCCGCGUGUGUGAAGAAGGCCUUCGGGUUGUAAAGCACUUUCAGCUGUGAGGCGUUACCCGCAGAAGAAGCACCGGCUAACUCCGUGCCAGCAGCCGCGGUAAUAC